rnacentral:rRNA from 1 species
UACGUAGGGAGCAAGCGUUGUCCGGAAUCAUUGGGCGUAAAGCGCGCGUAGGUGGCCCCCAUAAGUCCGCUGUGAAAAGUCAAAGGCUCAACCUUUGAAAGCCGGUGGAUACUGUGGGACUAGAGUACGGAAGAGGCGAGUGGAAUUCCUGGUGUAGCGGUGGAAUGCGCAGAUAUCAGGAGGAACACCAAUAGCGAAGGCAGCUCGCUGGGACGUACUGACACUGAGGCGCGAAAGCGUGGGGAGCGAACAGG